rnacentral:lncRNA from 1 species
GUUAUAUUCUCCCUAUAGGCCCUAACUAUAACUCUGGUCCUGGUCUAGUUAUAUCCUCCCUAUAGGCCCUAACUAUAACUCUGGUCUAGUUAUAUCCUCCCUAUAGGCCCUAACUGUAGCUCUGGUCCUGGUCUAGUUAUAUUCUCCCUAUAGGCCCUAACUAUAACUCUGGUCUAGUUAUAUUCUCCCUAUAGGCCCUAACUAUAACUCUGGUCUAGUUAUAUUCUCCCAAUAGGCCCUAACUAUAAAUCUGGUCUAGUUAUAUCCUCCCUAUAGACCCUAACUAUAACUCUGGUCCUGGUCUAGUUAAAUUCUCCCUAUAGGCCCUAACUAUAACUCUGGUCCUGGUCUAGUUAUAUUCUCCCUAUAGGCCCCAACUACAUCUCUGGUCCCGGUCCAGUUAUAUUCUCCCUAUAGACCCUAACUAUAACUCUGGUCCUGGUCUAGUUAUAUUCUCCCUGUAGACCCUAACUAUAGCUCUGGUCCUGGUCUAGUUAUAUUCUCCCUAUAGACCCUAACUAUAGCUCUGGUCCUGGUGUAGUUAUAUUCUCCCUAUAGACCCUAACUAUAACUCUGGUCUAUUUAUAUUCUCCCUAUAGACCCUAACUAUAACUCUGGUCCCGGUCCAGUUAUAUUCUCCCUAUAGGCCCCAAUUAUAACUCUGGUCCUGGUCUAGUUAUAUUCUCCCCAUAGGCCCUAACUAUAACUCUGGUCCUGGUCUAGUUAUAUUCUCCCUAUAGGCCCUAACUAUAACUCUGGUCCUGGUCUAGUUAUAUUCUCCCU